UGAUGGUGAUGAACACUACUUUUGAGCAUACCCUUGAAUCUCUCCCAAUCUUAGUAGAGAUUUUCUCCAUCUUUCUGCCUAAAACUCAAUAUUUCACUCCUUAAUCG
rfam:Capsicum annuum cultivar Zunla-1 chromosome 5, whole genome shotgun sequence